GGCUCCAUAGUGUAGUGGUUAGCACAUUUGCCUUAUACACAAAUAAUACAGGGUUCUAGUGUACUCCUUGUGCCA
rnacentral:tRNA from 1 species